UCACACAAACAUUCAUGUUUAUCUUAAAUUAUGACCACUGGAUAGCACGCAAGUAGAUACAACACGUGCGCGGAGGCACGGGGAUAAACCAAAGCAAUCUACCACCUCUCUCACUCUCACUCGCUCAUAUGGCUAAGCCAAUCACGUGACGUGAUUAUCACUUACUACUAACACAAACAUCCAUAUAUUACGCACGCUUACGUUACACCGGCAGCAGCAACGGCUACAAACAAACAGAAACAGGGCACUCGUGGAGGCAUGGAAUCGGGCGGCAUCAGGAGGCGGCGGCGGCGGCGGCGCGCCGUGCGCGACGAUCGGCUCAGGAGGAGGUGGCGACGCGCGGCUCCCAUAUGAAGAGCUGCCCGCUCAGCUGGCCGCACCGGCGCAUGUGGUUGAGGAGCUCCUGCUUGCUCCGCCGCCUCCUCGUCGUCAUCAGCACCUUGCCCUCGCAGGGCGUGGCAGCACUGCCGUCGUCUUCCGGGCCAGGCAGCGUCGCGGUCGCGCUUAGAGCCGGAGCUGCGGCCUCCGAACUGCUCGGAGGCUUGGGCGACUGCUGCGGCGCAGCGGCGGUGUCAUUGAUCUCGGAGGCGUUGACGGGCUCGGCGCCGACGAACUUGUUGAUGACGAGCGAGGAGCGGUGCACCCGCGCCCCACUGUUGUGCGCCUGGGGCUGCGUACUGACCUUGACCUCGACGACGGUGCCUCUGUCCACGACCUGGACCUCCUCCUCGCCGUCAUCCUCCUCCUCCUCCUCGCGGGUCUGCUCGUCGGCCUGCUGCUGGUCGGCUUCCUGGGCGCGGUUCUUCCCCUCGUCCUCGGCCGGGGCGGCGGUGUCAGCGAAGGAGAGGAGCAGGCGCCCGCCACGGCGCUGCGCGCGGAACAGGGUGUUGGACAGCACGGGGACGGCCUCGACGACGAGGCGGCCGUCGCGGCGGUGCUGCCUCAUCUGCAGCGACCCGACGGUGCGGCGCGCCAGCGAGGGCAGCGGCGGCGGGAACGCGCGGGGCGGCAUGGCGCGCGCGGCCACCCCGUCGGCGCCGCCCUCGCCGUCGUCGUCGUCGGAGCCCGGGCAGGAGCGGUCGGCGGCGUCGGAGAAGCCGUCGGAGCCGGUCUCGGAGCCGAGGCUCUCUGUGCAGAUCUCCAGGCUCUUCUGGGUGAGCAGGCUGGAGGAGCGGCGCACGGGGGCCGGCACGUACGGCGCCUGCUUCGGCGUCAACGCCGGGGCCGCGGGCUUCUGCGACUGGAUCAUGUUCCAUAUGUCGUCCCUCUCGAGACGGCCGCCGUGGUCCGCCUCCUGCAGCGGCACGGCCUGCUCAGCAGCAGCAGCAGCCACCACCUUGCCGCCGGCGUCGGCCUGCUCGGCGUGGCACGGCAGGCGCCGCUCCGCGGUCUCGAGCGCCGUGAGUGCCAUGUCUCGACGCGUCGCAGGUGGCUCACAGGUACUUACUAGCUAGGGUACAGUGCUGCUUUGCGGGAAGAGUACGUGCGUUUAUAUCGAGUGGCUGGUGCUGGGCUGGUUCACCUGGUGGUGACCGGGGUUCGGGAGAGCAGAGCAGAGCAGGCACACGAACAGAGAGAGAGAGAGGGAGCAGGGGGGGCGAACCGGGAGCGGGCACGCGGCGGCGAGAUAGAAGCGGAGGCGGGCGGCUUGGCUUGACCGGCCGACUGACUGACUGGCUGACUGGCUGACUGACAGGGCGUGUGUGUGUGUGAACUGUGAAGGAGACGAGAGGCGGAGGAGGACGGCGGAGGGAUAAGCUCGGUAGACUGACUCUAACGCGCGUCUGGGUUUCGCGCUGUUUCUGACUCGUCGUUUGGCUGUGCCGGGGGAGAGGGAGGGAGGGAGAGGGGCUCCGCUCGCUCUCGCUCUCGCUUCGGCUG
rnacentral:rRNA from 1 species